rnacentral:rRNA from 1 species
UACGUAGGGCGCAAGCGUUGUCCGGAAUUAUUGGGCGUAAAGAGCUCGUAGGCGGCUUGUCACGUCGAUUGUGAAAGCCCGAGGCUUAACCUCGGGUCUGCAGUCGAUACGGGCUAGCUAGAGUGUGGUAGGGGAGAUCGAAUUCCUGGUGUAGCGGUGAAAUGCGCAGAUAUCAGGAGGAACACCGGUGGCGAAGGCGGAUCUCUGGGCCAUUGACUGACGCUGAGGAGCGAAAGCGUGGGGAGCGAACAGG